UUAUUAUUAUUUAUUUAUUAAAUUAUUUAUUUUUUAAUUUAAAUUAUUAAAAAUAAUUAUAUAAUAUAAUGUUUUAGUAUAUUUUAUAAAAUAAAUAAAAUUUAAUAAUAGUUUAUUAGUAUUGUGAAAUAAAAUUGAAAUAUUAUGAAAAAUUUUUAUUUUAAAAGAAAAUUUAAUUUAUUGUAUCUUGUGUAUCAGAGUAUAUUAAAUAAAAAAUAAUUAAAAUUAUUUUUCUCGAUUUUAAAAGAUUUAAUAAAUUAAUAAAUAUAAUGUUAUAAAAUUAUUUUUAAUAAUUUAUUAGAAAUGAAAUGUUAUUCGUUUUUAAAUGUAUCUAGUUUUUUAAGAAAUAAAUUUAAUUUAGAAAUUUGAAAUUUAUUUAUUUAAUUUAUUAUUAAAUAAAUAAUUUUUAAAAUUUAAUAUUUUAUGGGAUAAGCUAUAAAAUAAAUUUUUAUAAAUAAUAAAUAUUUAUUUAAUAUAUUAUAUGGUUAGAAUUAUCAAUUUUUAUAAAGUUUGUUAUAAAUUAGUUUUUAUAUUAUAUUAUUUAUUAUAUUUUAAAUUUUUAUUAAAAUAUUUAUUUAAAUAUAAGAAAUAAAUUAAUAAUGAUAUAAUUAGUAUAUUUUUUUUGUAUAAUUAAAUUUAUAUAUGUUAAGUUUUAAUAAAGAAUUCGGCAAAAAUAAUAUUCGCCUGUUUAACAAAAACAUGUCUUUUAGAAAUUAAUUUAAAGUCUAACCUGCCCACUGAUUUUUUUUAAAUGGCCGCAGUAUAUUAACUGUGCAAAGGUAGCAUAAUCAUUAGUCUUUUAAUUGAAGGCUGGAAUGAAUGGUUGGACGAAAUAUUAACUGUUUCAUUUAAAUUUGUAAUAAAAUUUUAUUUUUUAGUUAAAAAGCUAAAAUUUAUUUAAAAGACGAGAAGACCCUAUAAAUCUUUAUAUAAGUAUUAUUUUAUAUUUUAUAAGUAAAUUUUAUUAAAAUAAUAAUUAUAUAUUUUAUUGGGGUGAUAUUAAAAUUUACAUAACUUUUAUUUAAAAAAAAUCAUUAAUAUAUGAAUAAUUGAUCCAUUUUUAAUGAUUAUAAAAUUAAGUUACUUUAGGGAUAACAGCGUAAUUUUUUUGGAGAGUUCAUAUUGAUAAAAAAGAUUGCGACCUCGAUGUUGGAUUAAGAUAUAAUUUUAGGUGUAGCCGUUUAAAAUUUAAGUCUGUUCGACUUUUAAAAUCUUACAUGAUCUGAGUUCAGACCGGCGUAAGCCAGGUUGGUUUCUAUCUUUAAUAAAAAAAAUAUAUUUUAGUACGAAAGGAUUGAAUAUAUAAAUAAUAUUAUUUUUAAUUUUAAGAAUAUAAUUAAUAUUUA
rnacentral:rRNA from 1 species